rnacentral:rRNA from 1 species
UACAGAGGGUGCGAGCGUUAAUCGGAAUUACUGGGCGUAAAGCGUGCGUAGACGGUUAUUUAAGUCGGGUGUGAAAGCCCCGGGCUCAACCUGGGAAUUGCAUUCGAGACUGAAUAGCUAGGGUACGGUAGAGGGAAGCGGAAUUUCCGGUGUAGCGGUGAAAUGCGUAGAUAUCGGAAGGAACACCAAUUGCGAAGGCAGCUCGCUGGGACGUUACUGACGCUGAGACGCGAAAGCGUGGGGAGCAAACAGG